rnacentral:rRNA from 1 species
ACAGCAGUCGCCGCGGUAAUACGUAGGUGGCAAGCGUUGUCCGGAAUUAUUGGGCGUAAAGUGUCUGUAGGUGGCUUUUCAAGUCCGCCGUCAAAUCCCCGGGCUCAACCCUCGACAGGCAGUGGAAACUACCAAGCUGGAGUACAAUAGGGGCAGAGGGAAUUUCUGGUGGAGCGGUGAAAUGCGUUGAGAUCGGAAAGAACACCAACGGUGAAAGCACUCUGCUGGGCCGACACUGACACUGAGAGAUGAAAGCUAGGGGAGAAAAUGGGAUUAGAUACCCCCGUAGUCCCUGUCUCUUAUAC